UACGUAGGGUGCGAGCGUUAAUCGGAAUUACUGGGCGUAAAGGGCGCGUAGGCGGCACAGCAAGUCGGGAGUGAAAGCCCGGGGCUCAACCCCGGAACUGCUUUCGAAACUGCUGAGCUAGAGUGCGGAAGAGGCAACUGGAAUUCCCAGUGUAGCGGUGAAAUGCGUAGAUAUUGGGAAGAACACCGGAGGCGAAGGCGGGUUGCUGGGCCGACACUGACGCUGAGGCGCGAAAGCCAGGGGAGCGAACGGG
rnacentral:rRNA from 1 species